UAGAUAACCCUAACUCUAGUUUAAGUUUUUCCUUCUUCAUCAUUUUCUUACUACCUACUGGGAAGUAACUAAAUCGCUCUCCCAUGAUCUAUUAUUUAAUCUUAGUAUAUUUGACUAAUCAGAACUGUUUAUAUCCAUUAAUUUAAUUCAAUUUUCCCUAAUUUUGAUCUGAAAUUUUAGAAAUUAUAAUAACUAAUUUUCAGGCUCACAUAAAGUUUGCUUGUAUUCCUCAAUGAAAUAUUUUCGUUAUUAAUCUUAUAGUAUUGGAAUAAUCAAGACCAGUUUGAAUGUACUAAUUUAAUCCAACUUCUCUUAAUUUUCAGCUGAAGUUUAGGAUUAAUUUAACUAUUUUCUAUGCUCAUAUAUUGUUUGCUUAAAUUCCCCAAUGACUUUUUGUUAUACAUUGACCGGGGAAGGAAGGGGUUCAACCUUGGUGCAUAUCCUUAAUUCUUUUCAUCUCUUAUCAGGUACCCAAGGUACGCUGCCGACUCAUCGUCAACUAUCCAAACGAGGAAGAUUGGAAGCGCUUUCAGCCCUAUAUCCAAAGCAGAUGGAUCAAAAGUGCUGCUCGAAAUAUUGAGCUCAAUACAUGAAGUAGUUGUUGAGAUAAUUGAACCCGAAAAAUUGCGCACCCGAAGAGCUUGAAUAGAAGAAGGCAUACCUGAAGGGGUGGAAGUUAGGGAGCUGCUAUCCAGAGUCAGGGGAAGGAAAGAUUCAAUUGCCCGAAAAAUAGAAGAUAGAAGGCUCUGUUCUUAGUGCAUGCUUCAGUGGACGGAAGAACUUGCUACCGAUGCAUUAGACGAAAGGCGCAGGGGAGAUUUAAUAUUAUGUGAUAUUUGGCAGAUGUAAAUUGACCCAGUGACCCCCGGUUGAACCACUGGUUAAACCAGUUGAUCCUGACCCAGUGAUUUUAUUGGGUAGAUGUCCGGUGUGGGUUUUAAAACAUUGCAUGCGAUGGAUAAUCUAUAAGUAUAGUCGACCGGUAUUUGCUACCGGAAAAGACUUUGAUUUGGAUAAUCUAUAAGUAUGACAUCAAGAAGGUCCAAACUUUUCGGAACGUUUUUAUUUCUGAAUUUAUGA